rnacentral:lncRNA from 1 species
CCCACAAUAGAUUCACUCAAUUCUCCAUUUCCAGCUUUUUCUUCAUCAUUUCCAGUUUCUUUCUUGUCAUUUGAAUCUGGCUCUCUAAGAGGGAACAAUUUGGCCCAGAAUGCGAACCACAGGAAAUUUGCAGCACUCAGGACAGCAAGCACCCAAUAGUAGCGAUCCAAGCGACUCUGAUUUAAUGUGUACUGAAACCAAUUCGGUUUUCCUCUGCUUUCACUAAUUUUACCUACAACAUAAACUGAUAAAACACUUCCGACUGUUCCUAGCCCGGAUAAUCCUGGACUGAGAUAGACAAGGUGCUUCUUCAUCGACGGAGGACUCUGAUCAGUCAAGAAGGGGGUAACACUGUUUUCAAAGAACGAGUCCAGACCUGCAAGGAAAAAAUACUGUGGAAGAAGCACAAGCGCACUUAAAGGGAUCUUAUCAUCCGGUUUAUCUAGCAAUCCAUGACUUCUGAUCACAUGUAUCCUUCGAGUUUCGACUCCGGCAGCAGUUAUGCAGCAUAACACUGAGAAGAUCGUAGCAAGCGCAAUGCCUAUUGAGGGGGCAUACUUUUCUUUGCGUGCUCCUUUUAAGUACCUUCCAAUGGCGUCGUAGAUUGACUUAAUCUGUAACUUUGAUAUUCCAUAGAACACCAGAAUGACAGAAUCGGGCAACUUUAGUUUUCCAAUCUUGUAAUUCAUGUGGCUUGCUUGCUCUACGAAGUAUGUGUUUCCAACAGAAGUAAUGACACCACAAAUUACAAAGGUGAUCCAAAUUGGAAUCAUGCGGAUUAUGAUUUUUGUCUCCUCUACUUCUGUCCGAGUGCACAGGCUCCACCUGUACUUUUUUGUCACUGUAUUUCCUUCUGCGGGUCUGUUUUCCUCUUUGUUGCACGAACGUGUACCUUGCACAAAUGCAAGUGUUGCCACCAAUGUACAGAUUGCUGGGAUUCCAAACCGAAUUGACCAUGGUUUUAUAUAUGGUAGAGCAAUUAAACCAACAACAGGAACAAGCAAUAUACAACAAGCACCAGGGAGUUUUCCGCUGUCUUUUUGCGCAAGGGCUAGCAUAGCUUCUAGUGGUUGGAAUUGAAGUUGUGAUAGAUCAACUUCAGCCUUUUUAGUACUCUCAGUUUGCUGCUGCUGCUCUCUCUCCGGAUUCUUGACCAUGAAUGAUGGGAGUCGUAAGCUCGGCUUCUUGGCCUUGAAUGAUGGGAGUCGUAAGCUCGGCUUAUUUAUCAAUUUCCCAUCAUGACCUUUGCGAUCCAAGGACAUUGAGCUACUUUUACAAUUUGGCUCGUUCUCUUUAGGUUCAUCUGGAUUCUUUUCAAUCUGAUUCUCUGCGAAUACAACCAGUGAGACAACGCGUCCACUUAAUCCAGCUGCUAUCAAUGCUAAAGCUGUGUAGAAUAGGGCCUUUUGUGUAUGACCAAGGCAGUUUGGCUCAUAAUCUUUACAGGUCCCUGUGACCUUGUGUAGAACUGGUGGUGUUGACAUUGACAGAAAUCCCAUACCCUGUCACCCAAUGGAGGUGGAAAAUUGAAGAGAGACCAAUCAUCAUUUUUAGCUAAUGUUCUUGAGUUACAAAUUCACAAUGGCCUCAAACUAAUGGUCACACAUUCAAAAGGGACAAAACUAGUAUUGGGACUAAUGAUUGAUGCCCAAUCCCAGCAAUCAUUCAAACCUGAAGACAAUUCCUUUUCAACAGUUUACACCAACUGGAUUAAUACAAGUUCUUGCAUCAAGGGACACAAUUGACAUCGAUAUUCUCAGUUUGUUAGGGGCUAAUUUCCAGCUAAUUAAGAGUCAUUAGAGUUAAAUCAUGGGUCUCUAACAGUGGAGUGGAAGUAUAAUCAUGGUUCAAUUAAAUGAAGUAACUAGAUGAAAAGGAGUUGACCAGCAGAAGAACUUACAAUAGAAAAGGCUAUACUUGAGAGAAGCAGACUCCUGUAGUUACUAAGGCCAGCAUCCACAAAGAUGAAAAAGACUAACGGGAGAAAUUUAGAGAGGCCGGUGUAGACAUUCAUGAUUCCAGCAGCAUGAGUAACUCCCAGCUUCCAAACAUCUGUUAAGUAUUUCUGCAUUAUCCACAUCACAUAUGUUGCAAGCAUAUCCGCCCACAACAGAACUGCCAACAGAGCAAGAAAAUCAGCAUUAGUACCAUCCAGAGAUCGGACUAAUCGAGCAGCAGGGCCAAUUCGGAACAGAUGAACAAGUCAAAUAAGCAGAAAUAUGUGGAUGAAUCAGAGGUAAGAAGAAUUACCCAUUAUUCUGAGAAAUGCCAUUUUCUUCUUGAACCUUAUGGAUUCACCUUUUUCUUCUGCAGGGCAAAAGAUGAAGGAAACCAACAUUAUUAGUACAAGAAAAGCUCAAGAAGAACACAUUUUAGCCAUACAAAGCUAAAAUGGUGUUGAGAGUUUAGUUUUCUUUACCUCAAAUUCCUGUCUGUCCUGGUCCCCUAGAGCCCAGAGGGGGAGAAAUUGAGAGAACUCUACUAGAAGUCAAGUCAACUCCUGUGUUCUUUCACCUGCUAACUCAGCUGGAAGACAGCCGCCUGGAAACCAGGUGUUUAAAUAGGCCAGUGGAGAGAAGACAAGUCGAUGCCAGUGCCAAUGGACCAAUGUGAUUUCGGUUAGAUUAAGAUCAAUGUAAUGAUUAAAACGUGGUAAUUAUCUGAAGGCCAUAAGAAUUUUAGCAGCUUUCUAUUUUUGUUCUUCUAUUUCUUAUUAGUUUCUCCUCUUUUUAGGUUUGGCUGCCUUUUUGAGAAUUCUUAUUGCUAAUUGCACGAAAACUCUAUUCUGUUUUUGGUUUAUCUAUUUUGGUUGUGUGUGGGUGUGUAUGUGUUUUUAGCGCUUUGUCUCAUAUCUUUUUUGUUUUACAAUUUUAUUUUUCUAAAAUUUUGAAUGCUUAUGAUAUUUUUGUCUUUAGUACCUCCAAAUUAAGUGAAUCACGGGGAAGGGCUGAGAAAAUAUUCAUAGACUUUACGUAAUAUUGCCAUUUUAAAUAUAUUUUUGUCUUUAGUGCCCAUUGCACAUUCUUUAUUCACUUUUGCAUCUUAUCGUAUGCAUCGUAUCAUAAAAAAUUAUUACAAUAAUCUUUUUCUAUCUCGACACACUUGAACUGGACGAAGAAUAUAACAAUGGGAUUGUUUGGAUUGUAAAUUAUUUGCAUUUUUUUUUUACUUACGUCGUUAACAUAUUUUUCUAUUACCUUUAUAUUUCAUUUACACCACAUAAAAAGAGUACUAUAAUAUAUUUUUUUUCAAAAAUUAUUCCAAAUAAUUCACUACCCCAUGACCUGUACUAUGAUUUAGAACUCAUAUCACCUCCAUCCCAAUUUUGAAUACAACUUCCACAGAUGGAAUAAUUUCUUUUUCCAUCAGCUAAGCACCAAAAUAGCUGGCCAUGUUUGUAUAGAAAGAAAUAAAUAAAAGAAAGAAAAACCUGUAUUAGAAAAUUUAUUUAGGGAGGUACAACUCUGCCAUGCCUGGUGACACUAGUAGGUCUGAGGUGAAACAAUUCAUGUAUUUAAAGAUGGCAUUGCAACUUGAGACAAAAUACGUUAUCUUACCAAUAAAACGUGCAAUAAAAUAAUAAUACUGUUUCAAUCAUCACAAUAUUAAUUUUUGUGGGUGAGACCUUCACCAGUUGAACAAGUUUUUGCAAAAGAAUGAUUAGCGGACGUUGAUCCAAUUUGCUAAUUAAAUUAAGAGUUCACACCAUGAUUAACAAGGUUGCCCAGGAUCUCAAAUAUAGCUCGUACUUCAUUAGUGAUUGAAACGUCAGAACUAAUCCUUUGUAUAAUCUUGCUUGUGUAAUUGAGCGAUUAAGCCAGCUGUGCAAUUGAGUGAGUGGAAUGAAAUUUGAUUGAACAGAUGGUUAAAUGGAUCCAAUGGAAUGCAUUAAAACAGCUGGGAAUUCCCUCAAGUCUGUUUGAAUUAUCUGAUUCUUUUACUGCAUUAUUGCCUAAUCCUGUUAAUCGAAUUGAUGUAUAAUAUUUCUUUGUUUUCGCGUUCCCUUUCUCCUGGUCCAAAAGUUUUCAUCAAGGGUUUUUCUAAAUUACUUUAGAUUGGUCUAAACUCGAACCAUAUGAGAAAUGAAGUCAGAACUGAAGCAGCUGUAUUAACAAAAGAGGAGUUUAUAUAUAUUAAAUGUGGUUAAAUGUUGUAACAUUAGGCACCAAAUUAUUCUCGUCCAAAGUUUGGAUGACAAAAUAGGUCAAGGGUUAAAGGCUAGUUACCAAAGCUCCAUUUCACUCAGUUCUACACUGAUAAAUUAUACUUCAACCAACUAAUUUUCAGUAUUUUUAGAGAAGUAUCAGACAAAAAUUUAAAUUCUGACCCCCAUUUCUGAGAAAAACAAAGGAAGUGUAAUCCAAACACCCACUUCCGAGAAAGCAAAAAUGAGUUUCCGAGAAAGCGAAGGGUCUCCUUUUGCAGCCUAAUGAUUGCACUUGAGGACCGAAAUUAAUUAUUAUAUAUUUAAUGGUAAUAAUGUACACACUCUCAAAUAUAUACACAAUUUGUACAUAGGAGAUUAAUUUAAACAAUAAUUAUACAAAAAAAUUAUUCUUGGCAAGGUAGAGUCUUGAAAUUAAGAGCCCAAAAAAACUUGCCCCUUUAUCAAUCAAUGAGCCAAGUAGAAUGGCUAAUUAAAUGUGCACGGUCUUCGUCAAAAAAGCACCAAUCACAGUCAAAGCGAAGACAAAGCGAUUUGGCAGAUAACUAUAAGAAGACAAAGCGAAGACUCGGGAGGAAGCAAGUCUUGUUCACAUUGGUCACCCCCAGCAAAAGGCUGCCAAAUUUACGAGUGAAACAAUACGCGAGAGUUGUACCCUGUACCCUAAUUUAAAAAAUCCCUUCAUAAAUAAUGUAGUUAGAUUUGGAAAAAGUUUAUAUAUAGUUGAGGUUAGUAGUGUAAGUAAGGAUGACAUCAGGACGAGUUUGAAACGAGAAUCCUCCACUCCCCCCCAACAGUGCUCAUGGAGACACUUUUUUUCUCCCUUCUUAGCACUAUUAUUAUUUUCUUCUUUCUUAGCAUCUUUAUUAUUAGCAAAGACUAAUAUUACCACCACUAUUACUACUAAUAGUAUUUGGGUCCGUUUUGAUUUCUUGUUUUUGCCUCUAUUUUUUAAAAACUGUUUUUCACAUUCCAAAUUCUACAGUAAAUGUGUAUUUCAAAAACAAUUCCAAAAACUCAUCCAAACAUUAUAUAAAAAACAACUCCAAAUAUACAUAUUUAAUAUGUAUAUUUCAAUUAUGUAUAUUAUAUAUAUUAUUAAUAUAAAUUGAAAUAUACAAAUUAAAAAUUAUAUAUUUAUAUAUUAUAUAUUAUAUAAAUAUUUAUAUACAUUAAUAUUAUACAUAAUAUUGUAUAAUAUACAUAAUAUGUAAUAUUGUAUACAUAAAUGUAUAAAUAUUGUAUACAUAAUAUAUUAUGUACAUUACAUUAUAAUAUAUACAUUAUUAAUGUACUUUCAUUAUUAUGUACAUUAUUGUGUAUAAUAAUGUAUAAUAAUGUUAUGUAUAAUAUAUAAUAUACAUAAUAUGUAAUAAUGUAUAAAUGUAUAUUAUGUAUAAUAUAUUAUAUUAUGUAUAUUAUAUUAUAUAUAUAUACAAUAUUAUGUAUAUUAUACAAAUUGAAAAUUUUAUAUUAUAUACUUAUAUAUUAUAUAUUAUAUAAAUAUUUAUCUAAUGAAAUAUACAAUAAAUAUUACAAAUUGAAAUAUUAUAUAAACACCAUAUUUAUAAUAUUAUAAUAUUUAUAAUUAAUAUUAAUUAUAUUAUAUAUAUUUAUUUAUUUAUUUAUUCAUAUUAUAAAUAUUUCAGUUUAUUUAAAAUAUAUUUUUAUAUAUUUAUAAUAUAUUUAUAUAAAUAUUAUAUAUUAUAUAAUAUAUUAUAUAUAUUAUAUAUAUUAUACAUUUAUAUAAAUGUACAUUUAUACAUAAUAUAUAUUUAUGUAUAUUUAUAAUAUACAUUUAUAUUAUGUAUUAUAUAUAAUAUAAUACAUUUAUAAUGCAUUUAUACAUUUAUAUUAAUAUACAUAAUAUUAAUUUUACAUUUAUACAUUCAUAUUAAUUAUAUUAAUACAUUUAUACAUAAUAUUAAUAUAUAUUUAUAAUAUAUUAAUUUAUUCAUUUAUAUAAUAUUCAUUUAUAAUUUAUACAUUUAUAAUAAUAUACACUUAUAUAUUUAUAAAUGUAUUUAUAUUAUGUAUUAUAUAUAAUAUAAUACAUUUAUAUAUUUUUAUAUAAAUAUAUAAAUAUAUUUAUUUAUAAAUAUUUAUAAAUGUAUUAUAAAUGCAUAUAAAUAUAAAUAUAAAAUUAUAAAAAUUAUAAAAAUACUCAAAAAAUAUGUUUUAAAAAUACCUCUAAAAAUGAUCCCAAAAAAUCUACAGUAAAAGUUUUUCAUAUAGUUUUUGAAAAACAACCCUAAAAACAACUAAUUCAAACGGACUUGUAUUUCAAAAAAGAAAUGCUACAGUGUUAUUUUUGAAAAAUAACCCCAAAAAUAGCUAAUCCAAACGGACCCACUAUUAUUAGGAAAAACUAAUAUUAUUGCUACUAAUAAUAAUUUAACCGAACAUAACAUGAAAAAAAUAGAUGUAUUAAUCAUAUUAUUUAUAUUUGAUUAAUUAAUAUGGGGGACAAGACGGAGGAUGGGGCAAAAGUAUUCUCCGCCGCCCCGUUUAAGAGUGGGUGAAAGAAAACCCCCCCCCCCCAUCCCCCCCUAUCUCUUGCCCACCCCCACUCCAUCACUCUCGCUACGGACAUUUGCCCCAUUAUACAUUUGCCCCAUCGCUACGGACAUUUGCCCCAUUGCCCCAUUUCAAAAUUCAUACUUGUUAAGUUAGGAAAAUUUCACAUCUAACUUCUUCCCUAUUUCUUAAAUCUCACUUUUUUCCUAUUACAAAAAAAUAUUUUAAAAAAGGUAAAAUUCUAACACAUUAGAACAAUAAUUUUUUUUAAAAAAAUAACCAAGAUAGUUCUUAAAUAAAAUUGCCCUGCUCUUACGAUAGAGGAAGCUCCUAUUAGGAUUUUGCUACUAGUAGCUCCCCUUGAUUAGGUGAUCACUAAGAAUUCAUUCGUGUAAGCGACGAAAAAUGCUCUGGUAGUAUCUUCUAUGUAUCAAUUUGAUAAUUUUUUUCUUUUUCCAAAACUUUCUUUAUCCAAGAAAAUAAUUAAGAAAAAAAAAAGAAAAUCCUUGGAUGCUGACAAUCAAUUCUCAAAUACGCCCUACACAUAAUGCGGCCGAUGUCCAUGUCAUGGGCUCACCCGACAGAGUCUUAUACGCGUACUUCAUGCUUCAGUUUCUAUCACUUUGCCGCCAUGCAUGUCAAUUGUCAAUCUCAGCCUGCUUUUUUUAUUUUUUUUAUUAUAUAUAAAUAUAAAUAAAAAAAAAAAGUGCUGUGUUUGACUGGUUUGCUAAGGUUUGUAUGGUUGGAAAGCUUAUGAAGGACAAUUAGUUUCUGAUGCUGUACAUUUGGUUUUCUCCUUGCAUGUUGAUUUUAUCUUUUUUUUUUUAAACUAAUAUAGCAGAACAUAUGUUUGGUAUCUAACUAAAAGAGUAACUUAGUAAUUGGUCUUCUAUAUUUACCUUCUUCCCCUAUAAUAAGGUAAUAAGUUCAUCACUUUUGUGAUUUAUGAUUUAGUUGUACUAAUAUGGUUAGGUUGAUGCCCCAAAAAUUAAUGGUUCUAGAUUUUAAUUCCCUGUCUCCUUUUUGCUUCUCAAAUCUCGCCCUUUUCCUAUUAGAAAUUAUAUAUAUAUAUAUUUAGGCAAGCAAACAGUGUUUGUUGAGAGCGAUUUAAUUACUCGUUGAACAUGGUUGUUACCUUUUAACAGCUACCACCACAAACUUAAUGCAUAAUAUAGGGCUGUUAAUCUGGCUUUAUGAGCCAGGUUUUGGCAACCCGAAGCUCACUCAUACGGAAAAAAAAAAAGAAAAGAAAAUUGGACUACUUUAAGUUGUUUUGAGGCUUAUACUCGACUCAUAAAGAAAUCCAUUAAUACUGAUUAAUGAUGAUAUAUCAAGCCUUGUCUGAGUGUGUAAUAUUUGACAGGUUGUCGAAACCUGUGCAAUAAUAAAAACCCGCUCAAACUAAAAGUAAUUUAUGUAGAUAGCGGUAAGCAGGGUCGAAUCCACAGGGACUGGAAGUAAUUGUUCCUUUUCAAAUUCACAGUGACACGGGGGGUGUUUUUGUGCAGAGAGUGACAAUCAAAUAAAUGCAAAUAAAAUCCAAGGAACUACUAAAAAUUAAAUAAUAAUUUACUAAAUACAAAUGAAUGAUAACUAAAGUUCUAACCAAGAAAUAACUUCAGCAAUGGUUCACCUAAUUGAUCAUUAAAACAAAAGCAAUUCCAAUUAUUUACUAAUAAAUAGGUUAUAACUGCCAAAAAAGCGAUGGCAGUCAACCCCUCCUUACUGUGUCGGUGAUUAAGGUACGCCCGUUAAUCACUGCUCUAAUUGAGAAAUAAUUUUAGGUACGCCCAUAAGAUUUAAUUCCUCAAUUGCCUUACGUAUUAGAGGAGCUCUAUUCUAACUAGAGGUGUCAAAAUGGGUGACUUGGACGGGUUUGGGUUGGGUAAAAUGGGUAAUGGGUAUAAGUGAGUCAACUCAUUUAUACCCAUUUAAUUAGAUGGGUAUAAAUGGGUAAGUCAAAAAAUGAAUUGGGUAACCCAAUUACCCAUUUAUAACUCAUUUAUUUUAACUUUUUGCAAACUCGUUUAAAUUCAUUUUUGCAAACUAAGUUAUCAAUUUAUACCACUCUUUUUACUCAUCAUUAGUUUUAAAUAUUUACUUAUAAUGUUCAAUAAACUUAAUUACCAAUUUUUUUCAUUUAUACUCUAUGUCACAAAAUUACCUAUUAUUUAAUAAUUGAAUAAUACGAAUAUAAAAAUUUGAAUUAAGUACUAUAAAAAUUAAUAUAAAAACUUAGUCCAAAAAUUUUGAACCCCUAACAUUUUUUUCAUAUAUAAAUUUAAAAUUUCAUUUUAUAAAGAUAAGAAAAUAGGCUAAAAUUUAUCAUAAAUUGGUGAUGCUAAAAAAUGAUCAAGUUAACAAACUAAAAAAAAAUAAAAUAAUAAGAUAAAACCAACAAAUAAUAAUAAUAAUAAUAAUAAUAAUGUUAACAUCAUGACAAAAUGAAAAUUUUGAAAAAAAAAAAAAGGUAGGGGAAAAGAAGAGACUUGGGGGGAAGAGAACUUUAAAUGGGUUAAUUGGGUUUGAUGGGUUACCCAAUAAUACCCAUUUAAUAAAUGGGUAUUAUUGGGUAACCCAUUUAUACCCAUAUACAAAAAUUUAAGAUACCCAUACCCAUCUAUUCAUGGGCGGGUAUGGGUAAAUCUAGUUAAGUGGGUUGAUUUGCCACCUCUAAUUCUAACCAAAUAACGCACUACCAGGGUUAUUUUAGAUUAGCCCGCGUAUUCUCCUGUCACAAAUCUAAUCAUGCCAGUUGUCACUAUUUUGAGGUAAUUAAAUAAUUACGGAUUUAAUACCUUAAUUGACAGUAGAUUACCAAAUUAACUAAUUAUCCGGAUCCAAGACAAUCAAUUAAUUAAAUAAUCAUAAACACUACAAUCAAGGAAUAUGUAAAUACCAAUAAAUAAUAGAAAAAGAUGAAAUUAAAUCGAUCUCACAAUUUUAGGCGAUCCAAAACCUCCGUUAUUCCUUGACUAGACAAAGAGAUUUAAAUCAUCCCUUGUCUACUCCUACCGAAAAGAAAAGAAAAGCAACUAAGAAUGAAAGGAAAAGUCAACAUCAUCCAAUUUGCUUGUUCCUAAUUGCUCCUGGCAAACGCAGGAGCAAAAACCACUAGAGGACGAAAUACUAAGGAGAAAAGUUAAAAGAAAAGCUAAGCUCCCCUAGUGCUUGUUCUCUGCACCAUUCAUUCUAAUUCCUAUCCAAUGCCUCUUUUCAUGUGCGGCGGCUCCCCUCAGAAAAAAUCGAAGCCUCUGCCGUGCCCUUUCUUUUGAAAUUACAAAAAUGGGCAAAAGUCUUCCUUUGCUAAUGAUGCCCCUGGAAUAAGCUCCGUAAAAAGUGCUCUUUUCUUGUUAAAUUGGCACUUAAUAUCAUAUUUUCGUUUUAUUUCCUGAAAUAUAUGCCAAAUACUAAAAGUGAGUAGAAUCCAGCAAUUAAUCCACAUCGGAUCAGGUAAUAAGGGAAAUUAAUAAUAAAAUAAAUGAUAAAAUUGCAACCUAUCAAUAUUAGCCAUCAAUACAUCUGUAAGAAAACCUGCAGUAGUUUCAGUCAAUUCUCAAUUUCCAGUACGUUCCUUAUUUUCUUCAUUUCCAGCUUCUAUAUAUCUAUCUUCUUCCUGAACUCCUUUAUUUCCAGCCUUUUCUAUAUCAUUUCCAGUUGCUUUCUUGUCAUUUGAACCGGGUUCUCUAAGAGGGAACAAUUUGGCCCAGAAUACAAACCACAGGAAAUUUGCAGCACUCAGGAUAGCAAGCACCCAAUAGUAGCGAUCCAGGCGACUCUGAUUUAAUGUGUACUGAAACCAAUUCGAUUUUCCUCUCCUUUCACUAAUUUUACCUACAACAUAAACUGAUAAAACACUUCCGACUGUUCCUAGCUCGGAUAAUCCUGGACUGAGAUAGACAAGGUGCUUCUUCAUCGACGGAGGACUCUG